rnacentral:rRNA from 1 species
UGCGUAGGCGGCCUUGCAAGUCAGAAGUGAAAGGCUACGGCUUAACCGUAGUAAGCUUUUGAAACUGUAAGGCUAGAGCGAAGGAGAGGAAAGUGGAAUUCCUAGUGUAGAGGUGAAAUUCGUAGAUAUUAGGAGGAACACCAGUGGCGAAGGCGACUUUCUGGACUUUAACUGACGCUGAUGCACGAAAGCGUGGGGAGCAAACAGGAUUAGAUACCCUGGUAGUCC